AAUAGAUACCCGGGUAGUCCUGGCCGUAAACGAUGACCACUAGAUGCGGGAGGUAUCGACCCCUUCCGUGUCGCAGCUCACGCGCUAAGUGGUCCGCCUGGGGAGUACGGUCGCAAGACUAAAACUCAAAGGAAUUGACGGGGACCCGCACAAGCAGCGGAGCGUGUGGUUUAAUUCGAAGCAACGCGAAGCACCUUACCAGGGCUUGACAUGCUCCUGCACCAGCGGUAACCCGCUGUCUCCCGCAAGGGAGCGGGAGCACAGGUGCUGCAUGGCUGUCGUCAGCUCGUGUCGUGAGAUGUUGGGUUAAGUCCCGCAACGAGCGCAACCCUUGUCGUCAGUUGCCAACGGUUCGGCCGGGCACUCAGACGAGACUGCCGGUGUUAAACCGGAGGAAGGUGGGGAUGACGUCAAGUCCUCAUGGCCCUUAUGCCCAGGGCUACACACGUGCUACAAUGGCCGGUACAAAGGGCUGCGACACCGCGAGGUGAAGCCAAUCCCAAAAAACCGGUCUCAGUUCGGAUUGGAGUCUGCAAC
rnacentral:rRNA from 1 species